rnacentral:rRNA from 1 species
UGCCAGCAGCCGCGGUAAUACAGAGGGUGCAAACGUUGCUCGGAAUUACUGGGCGUAAAGCGCGUGUAGGCGGAUAUGUAAGUCAGAUGUGAAAGCCCUGGGCUCAACCCAGGAAUUGCAUUUGAAACUGCGUAUCUUGAGUACUGGAGAGGAAAGCGGAAUUCCUGGUGUAGAGGUGAAAUUCGUAGAUAUCAGGAGGAACACCGGUGGCGAAGGCGGCUUUCUGGACAGUUACUGACGCUGAGACGCGAAAGCGUGGGGAGCAAACAGGAUUAGAUA